AUCAAAUUCAGCUGGUCAUAACGACUCUGAAUCCAUUCAGCAUCAGUCAACUAGGGACUUGAGGGUAUCAGGCUUCUUUUAUUCUUUUUUCUAUUUGAAAUUUUUUUCCUGAUUUUUGCUUUUACUUUGAUUUUUUUUUCUCUUCUCUUUCCUUUUUUUUUCUUUUUUUUUACAUUACAUUUGUAAUGCCCCAGUUUGACUGUUGCUGGGUUCUUGAGACGCAGCUGAAUGACUUGCUUUUCAUUGCUCAAGUGCUCGGGUAAUCUCAUCAGGAAUCCCCUUCAACAUCAUCUUCCUCUGCCUCAAAUACAAGGAAUUCAAAUUUGGGAGAUGGCGUUGGAUCAUUAUGUUCAAUGGGUUUAGAAAUCCCUGCAUAAUGAUUCUGGAUAAUGAAAAGCUUUUGAAUUUAAACAAGCAAAUCAUUUAUGCAGAUGAAAAAGCUGUUUUCUUGUUUUUCAGGUUUUUUGUGAUCACUGAUUUCAUGCAAAAGCAAAAAGUGAAAACAAAUGGAAAAACAAAUGUUUAACAAUGCAUUAAUUGGAUGAAAACAUCAUUGUAUUAAAUGUUGCCAACAAU
rnacentral:lncRNA from 1 species